rnacentral:lncRNA from 1 species
GUUAAAAAUAAAAAAAAAGUAUUAUUUUACCUAAAUAAAUCAUUCUAAUUUAUAUUAUUUUACAUAAAACAUAGGUUCCUUAAACUAGUAAAUGAUGAUAGUAAGGUGAUUUGCUUAAGGCUAAAUCAGUGAUGUUUUAACACAUGGCCAAAACCUGGCAGCCAGCCACCAGGGGCCUCGGGUUUUCAGGGGCUUCAUGUGUAGCAUUAUUAUUAUUAUUAUUCCAGAUUUUCCUAUAUUUUGUUUAGGGAGUUUUGUUAUUACUUUUGACAGGUCAUAUAGCACUCAAUUCUUCACUAGGUCAAAUCAUCUUACUAAUACCAACAAUCAAGUCUUAAAUGAUCUUCCAUUAAUUUGGUCAAGUCUUAAUUUGAUCUUCCAUUCAAGUUUGGUCAAAUUAAUCAAGUCUUAAUUUGGUCUUCCAUUAUAC